GACGAACGCUGGCGGCGUGCUUAACACAUGCAAGUCGAACGGAAAGGCCCUGCUUUUGUGGGGUGCUCGAGUGGCGAACGGGUGAGUAACACGUGAGUAACCUGCCCUUGACUUUGGGAUAACUUCAGGAAACUGGGGCUAAUACCGGAUAGGAGCUCCUGCUGCAUGGUGGGGGUUGGAAAGUUUCGGCGGUUGGGGAUGGACUCGCGGCUUAUCAGCUUGUUGGUGGGGUAGUGGCUUACCAAGGCUUUGACGGGUAGCCGGCCUGAGAGGGUGACCGGCCACAUUGGGACUGAGAUACGGCCCAGUCUCCUACGGGAGGCAGAAGUGGGGAAUAUUGCACAAUGGGCGGAAGCCUGAUGCAGCAACGCCGCGUGCGGGAUGACGGCUUUCGGGUUGUAAACCGCUGUCGCCUGUGACGAAGCGUGAGUGACGGUAAUGGGUAAAGAAGCACCGGCUAACUACGUG
rnacentral:rRNA from 1 species